CGAUCAUCUAGUCACAGCCAGCAGGAAGGAAGUGACUCAAAAUCGCGCCUCAAAGCCCCACGUUAUGUCUUUAUAAGGCAAUGGCAGACACACAGACAGAUAGAUAGACAAACUGACAGCAUCUUGGAUUAUUUCGAUUUGGCGUAUAGCAUGAAAGGCUUUGAAAGCAGCGUGAAACACUCACUGGGAAACAGCGCCGGAGUUUCGCUUGCGUCGCACUGGAAAUCAACGGUUGCCGUUUGACACUCACUGAGGGCAUCACACGCUGACAUCAUCACAUCGGGAUUCUGUCACAGAGGCGGCCGAGUCACUUGAUGUGUGAUGUCAUCGCUAACAGUGGAAAGAAGUUAGAAUCCCCAACAAGGGUUCUUUCUGGUUUCAAAUUGGGGUUUCAAAGUCAGGGUUAAGGUUUUACUUUUGUCACGAGCGGAUGGUGGAAAUGGUGCAGGGCAACCAAGCAGCUUGCACCAGGGUUUAUUGGCGGAACUCAAACUAACAGACUCGGUACACUGACAUAACUGACUAACAAAACCAACAACAGGAACCGAACAGAGACAAAAAGACAGGAACCAAAAAACCUCAUGACAGUAACAAACAUCAAUGCUCCGACAGGGAGUGAUACACAGACAGGACUUAAUAUACAAGACAGGUAACAAGAGGCAGGUGAGAAUGAUCGCACUGAUCAUGGGCACACAGGAGUGGUGGGGCGAGCACACAGACACACGGACAAAACUAUGACAACAUGGACGUGACCGGGGACGAGUUGUGACAACUUUUUGGGUUUCUGGGAAUUAAGUUUCCAGACCAGUACUUACUCUUUAGGACUUAUCAAUACUGAUAUUGACUACCUCCUGGUCUCUGCUGGAUGCCAAUAUGGAGCUGCGUGGUGUUGGUGGUCUUCAUUAAAGGUGUCUCCAGAUGGAGAUCCGAAUCAGACUGAUCAAAUCUGGAUCCAAAUCGGAUUGAUAAAAUCUGGAUCCAAACCGGACCUGGAUCAAAUGUCUGACAACGUGAGUGCAAUGCAAUUGCGGCUCAUCUUUCAAAAGAGCUGAAGACACCGACGUAAACAACACACUUGUUAGCUUCUGUAUGAGCUGUAAGGAUUUUAAUGGCAGUGAGGAGACCACCUUGGAUGGUUUUACGGCUUUUUGAAAUAGAACACUCCAAAAAAAAAUACUCAGUUCAAUAGGUCUGUGGGUAUCUCAUGUCCUGGAUUCUCCCGGGUCACCACCAUCCAGUGGCACCGUUCCUUCAAGAUUUUUCGUCUCCACAUCUGUGUCGUCCUCUGUGACAAAUAAGUUCCUCAUGGAGUCGGACAGAGCCUCCCUCAGAUCAUCAUCUGACUCCUCAAAGUUCCUGAAACAUAGGAAGACAUCCGAGUAAACAAAAAGGUUUGGUUUUUCCGUCACCAUGUGUCAACUUACGUGUCAUCAUCGUCCGACCUGGGCUCCAGGCGCUCCUGGUCCAUCUCGACAUCUGAGUCUUUGUCCUGGUCUUCCAUCCCUUCAGGGGCUGAAUGAGAGUAAAGACAACUGAACGUUGCUGCUAGCAACAUAGUUCUCGUUUUUGUCAGGCCGAUUUCUGACCUGCACCCUGCGAGUCCACAGUGGAGCAUGUAAGAUUGGCUUGGGCCAUGGCAUCCAGUAAGGUCUUGGGGGGACCGGAGAUCCACUGCCGACGAGCGACUUCCUCCUCCUUCUCCUCACCUGUGAACGAACAAGGCUCAUUCAAACAAAACAAAUCUAAGAAGGUCUUCACAUCUGUGCUGCACAAACACCUUGUUCUACCAGGAUCGAUUGACCCAUCAAACACCCCUCAGAUGUCACUAAAUCCAUCUUCUUCACUUUCUAUACAAAAAAAAGAAUUAGACUGACAUGGUUGAAGUUCCAGCGUCCCACCAGAGUCCACGUCCAUGUGGACCAGAGCCUCCAUCAGCGUCUCCGGUGGUCCCUGGCUCCAUCCCCUCCUCGCCUUGGCCCAACCCUCGACCUUUAUGUCCUCGCCCUCCUGCAAAUGAACUGUCAGGUUCUGAAGGUCCACCUCCAAUUUUCCCUCCUCCUCUGCUGUCUCUUUGUCUUCCUCCUCCGAGGAAUCCUUUGCGUCGUCUAGACGGAUCUCAAACAUGAUUCCCUUCUGGAAGAUGCCAGAGACAAGUUUGAAACUGGAUGCUUACCAGUAAAGUCUUGAUUGUGAACUAGACCAGCAUGGUUUGUGUUAUGGUGUCCUUCAAAUCACCUGGUUCUUGUGUUCCUUCUUAAGUUCCCUCCUUUGUUUUCGGUUCUCUUCCCUGAUCUUCCUCAAAGCCGCUUCCACGUCCUGCGUUGUUUUAAAACGGUCUAAUAAACAGCUGCCCGAUACAAUUCGAGUAAAGGCGGGCUUUACCUGCACUGGUUGCUCUUGUUUUUCGGUUUGUGUAGUGGAAGGUUGUGCUUCUUUGUCCAGCACAAACGUGUUGUGUUGUUGUGGCGGCUGAUCAACAAAUGCCUACAUCAAUAAACGCAACACAACUGUCUCACAAUUAUGUGUUGCAUUUUCAACAACCUGCUCAAAUAUACACACAUAUAUUCUAACCCAUACCGCCUUUGUUAUUUGUAUCGCAUUUGCUAACGUGUGUGCGUGUGUGCACCUCUGCCUCAGCUCUCAACCUCAUCUGUUUCAUCUCCUGAUGAUAUUGUUGUCGGAUGAGCUGCAGCUGCCUCAAGUACUCCUGCAAACACACACAAACACAAUAAAUGUACAUUUAACUCCUUUACUGCCAACCCAAUUCAUAUCUUUGAUGUCUAUAACCGUCAAUGGCACUGUAUGAGUUAAUUUCUUGCUAGGCUCAAUUCGUCCGAUUUCCCGCAGCUGCAGAUUAUUUACCACCUGUUGGUCCUGUUUCUUGCCAGGAGGUGUGUGCUGCGGCUCACGCGAGUCCAUGUGGCUUUCCGAUCCGUCGGCCGGUCUGCAGCUCUCCGCCGUACUGGGUCGCAGACCCUGACGAGGCGCUAACGUCAUAAAACAAUCCUCGGAUUGAUGAAGCGUGUUGCUCACCAACUGUUUCUCUGCCCUCAGCUUGUAUUGGUUGGCUUCCUGUCUCCUUUGAAGGUAUUCUUCACGAGCUGCGGCCACCCUGAAACCUGGUAAGGUUCGACCGGAGGGACCACGUAGUCUUCACAUGGCUCACUGGGAGGAAGAGGAGGAUGAAGAGCUGGAGGAGGAUAAACGUCCCCCCUGUGGAGGGCAUCCAACCGGGCAAAAUAUUGCUGGUACUGUCCAAUCCUGUACAGGCUGAGGAAGGUGUCCUGCUCUGUGGGGCUGAGUGGACAUCACAAAAACAGACAGCUCAAUAAAUGCCUACAGGAAAAUGUGUUAAGCAAGUCCAAGGUUUGGUUUAAGUUUGUGUAAUUACCGGGUAAUAAGCAAGGCCGCAGACUCUCCACUCUGGCUUGACGGGAAGUUUCUUCACAGCCGCUUUGCAAUUUUUCUUGUUGUCUACAUCACAACAAGCAUGUGUUAUGAUUGUUGAACGUGUGUGAUGCAUGUGUAACAUCUGUGUGUGCGUUACCUGAUGCUGCUUUGCAGGUGUUAGUGCUCGAUGUGUUGCUAUUUUGACGAAACUCCUGUGCACACGAACACACACACACACAAAUCAUACACCAGCACAAUGGUGUCAAAAGUGUGUGAAUAGUUAGUGAAGGCUGUGAAUAAAAGCGGUCAAAGAAAA